rnacentral:rRNA from 1 species
UGGGGAAUAUUGCGCAAUGGGCGAAAGCCUGACGCAGCAACGCCGCGUGAGUGAUGAAGGCCUUCGGUAUGUAAACUUCGAAAGAAUAGGAAGAAUAAAUGACGGUACUAUUUAUAAGGUCCGGCUAACUACGUGCCAGCAGCCGCGGUAAUACGUAGGGACCAAGCGUUGUUCGGAUUUACUGGGCGUAAAGGGCGCGUAGGCGGCAUGACAAGUCACUUGUGAAAUCUCUGGGCUUAACCCAGAACGGCCAAGUGAUACUGUCGCGCUAGAGUGCAGAAGGGGCAAUCGGAAUUCUUGGUGUAGCGGUGAAAUGCGUAGAUAUCAAGAGGAACACCUGAGGUGAAGACGGGUUGCUGGGCUGACACUGACGCUGAGGCGCGAAAGCCAGGGGAGCAAACGGGAUUAGAUACCCCCGUAGUCCCUGAGCGGGCUGGCAAGGCGCAU